UACGUAGGGUGCAAGCGUUGUCCGGAAUUAUUGGGCGUAAAGAGCUUGUAGGCGGUUUGUCGCGUCUGCUGUGAAAUUUCGGGGCUCAACCCCGAACUUGCAGUGGGUACGGGCAGACUAGAGUGUGGUAGGGGGAGACUGGAAUUCCUGGUGUAGCGGUGGAAUGCGCAGAUAUCAGGAGGAACACCGAUGGCGAAGGCAGGUCUCUGGGCCACUACUGACGCUGAGAAGCGAAAGCAUGGGGAGCGAACAGG
rnacentral:rRNA from 1 species